rnacentral:rRNA from 1 species
CCUACGGGAGGCAGCAGUGGGGAAUAUUGCACAAUGGGCGAAAGCCUGAUGCAGCAACGCCGCGUGAGCGAUGAAGGCCUUCGGGUCGUAAAGCUCUGUCCUCAAGGAAGAUAAUGACGGUACUUGAGGAGGAAGCCCCGGCAAACUACGUGCCAGCAGCCGCGGUAAUACGUAGGGGGCUAGCGUUAUCCGGAAUUACUGGGCGUAAGGGGUGCGUAGGUGGUUUCUUAAGUCAAAGGUGAAAGGCUACGGCUCAACCGUAGUAAGCCUUUGAAACUGGGAAACUUGAGUGCAGGAGAGGAGAGUGGAAUUCCUAGUGUAGCGGUGAAAUGCGUAGAGAUUAGGAGGAACACCAGUGGCGAAGGCGGCUCUCUGGACUGUAACUGACACUGAGGCACGAAAGCGUGGGGAGCAAACAGGAUUAGAUACCCGUGUAGUC